rnacentral:rRNA from 1 species
GACGAACGCUGGCGGCGUGCUUAACACAUGCAAGUCGAACGGAAAGGCCCUGCUUUUGUGGGGUGCUCGAGUGGCGAACGGGUGAGUAACACGUGAGUAACCUGCCCUUGACUUUGGGAUAACUUCAGGAAACUGGGGCUAAUACCGGAUAGGAGCUCCUGCUGCAUGGUGGGGGUUGGAAAGUUUCGGCGGUUGGGGAUGGACUCGCGGCUUAUCAGCUUGUUGGUGGGGUAGUGGAUGACCAAGGCUUUGACGGGUAGCCGGCCUGAGAGGGUGACCGGCCACAUUGGGACUGAGGUACGGCCCAGACUCCUACGGGAGGCAAGAGUGGGGAAUAUUGCACACUGGGCGGAAGCCGGAUGGAGCAACGCCGCGUGCGGGAUGACGGCUUUCGGGUUGGAAACCGCUUUCGCCUGUGACGAAGCGUGAGUGACGGUAAUGGGUAAAGAAGCACCGGCUAAUUACGU